UACGGAGGGGGCGAGCGUUAUUCGGAAUUAUUGGGCGUAAAGGGCGCGUAGGCGGCUUGAUGUGUCAAAGGUGAAAUCCCUCGGCUCAACUGAGGAACUGCCUUUGAAACUGUCUGGCUUGAGGCCGGGAGAGGGUAGCGGAAUUCCCAGUGUAGCGGUGAAAUGCGUAGAUAUUGGGAGGAACACCAGUGGCGAAGGCGGCUACCUGGACCGGUUCUGACGCUGAGGCGCGAAAGCGUGGGUAGCAAACAGGAUUAGAUACCCCCGUAGUCC
rnacentral:rRNA from 1 species